GAUGAACGCUGGCGGCGUGCCUAACACAUGCAAGUCGAACGGAGUCCAGCCUUUAAGACCUUCGGGUCAAAGAGGGGAAGACUGAGUGGCGGACGGGUGAGUAACACGUGGGCAACCUGGCUCAUAGAGGGGGAUAACAGAGAGAAAUUUCUGCUAAUACCGCAUAAGCACACACUGCCGCAUGGCAGAGGGUGAAAAGAGAAUCGCUAUGAGAUGGACCCGCGUCUGAUUAGCCAGUUGGCAGGGUAAGAGCCUACCAAAGCGACGAUCAGUAGCCGAUCUGAGAGGAUGAACGGCCACAUUGGGACUGAGACACGGCCCAAACUCCUACGGGAGGCAGCAGUGGGGGAUAUUGCACAAUGGGGGGAACCCUGAUGCAGCGACGCCGCGUGAGUGAAGAAGUAUUUCGGCAUGUAAAGCUCUAUCAGCAGGGAAGAUAAUGACAGUACCUGAAUAAGAAGCCCCGGCUAACUACGU
rnacentral:rRNA from 1 species